rnacentral:rRNA from 1 species
UUAGAGUUUGAUCCUGGCUCAGAGCGAACGCUGGCGGCAGGCCUAAUACAUGCAAGUCGAACGAACCCUUCGGGGUUAGUGGCGGACGGGUGAGUAACACGUGGGAACGUGCCCUUUGGUUCGGAACAACUCAGGGAAACUUGAGCUAAUACCGAAUGUGCCCUUCGGGGGAAAGAUUUAUCGCCAUUGGAGCGGCCCGCGUCUGAUUAGCUAGUUGGUGGGGUAAAGGCCCACCAAGGCUACGAUCAGUAGCUGGUCUGAGAGGAUGAUCAGCCACACUGGGACUGAGACACGGCCCAGACUCCUACGGGAGGCAGCAGUAGGGAAUCUUGCGCAAUGGGCGAAAGCCUGACGCAGCCAUGCCGCGUGAAUGAUGAAGGUCUUAGGAUUGUAAAAUUCUUUCAGCGGGGACGAUAAUGACGGUACCCGCAGAAGAAGCCCUGGCUAACUUCGUGCCAGCAGCCGCGGUAAUACGAAGGGGGCUAGCGUUGCUCGGAAUCACUGGGCGUAAAGCGCACGUAGGCGGCUUUUUAAGUCGGGGGUGAAAUCCUGGAGCUCAACUCCAGAACUGCCUUCGAUACUGAGAAGCUUGAGUCCGGGAGAGGUGAGUGGAACUGCGAGUGUAGAGGUG